GAAAGGUUCUGGAAAAUUUGACAACCAGAGGGUGCCUUUGACUAGCAAUGACAUUGUUGAACAGACACUGGGCCAAUAUGGCAUUAUAUGCUUAGAGGACGUCGUGAGAGAGAUUGCAAGUGUUGGUCCACACUUCAAGGAGGUUACUAGCUUUCUAUGCCCCUUUGCUCUCACUAAGCCAGAGAAAGCUUUGCAGGGUAAGAAGAAACGAUACAAUGAUGGUGGCGAUUCAGGAAAUCGUCAGGAUCACAUCAAUGAGUUGAUAUCUAAGAUGAAUUAGCAUAGACACCCGGGUUUCCAAACCAAAUUUUUGUUGAGUGUUAUAAUAUAGUUUGGUAUGGGUUAUUGUAAAAGAUGGAGCAUCGUAAUCACUAUACUAGGUGCUAUUCCUUUUCCUCCACCCAUUCAUGUCAUGUAUUGUGUCUCAAGCCAUUAGAAGGUAUCAUUGUAUCUUCUUUCCGCUACUAUUUUCAUACUGCUGAAGUUAAAAUGCCAAAAAUGUACCUACUACAUUAUUAUCAAUGAAAA
rnacentral:misc_RNA from 1 species